UUUAUCACGAUCAAAGGCCAUAUACGACCAACUUUGGUUUUAAUACUUUAAAAAGAUUACUUCAACGUGAUUUAUAUUUUGGAGAUAUGUCUUCAAGUAUAAAGAUGGAGACUAUUUCUCUUAUGAAAACAUGUCAACAAUGUUAUUUUCCAAAAAUAAAUAGCAAUGUUACUGUAUAUUUUAAGGAGACAAGUAUAAUUUAUGGUUGCAGAUCUACUGACGGAAUACCGAAGGAAGUCUAUGAGACCUAAUAUGGAAAGAAACAAUCCUUAUGCUUUUGAAGCAUCUCCUUCUUUUGUAACUACUACUCUUGAUAGAGAUGCUAGUGGAACUGUUUCAUAUACAUCAGUUCCCUUAUUGUACGUCAAUGGACGAACUUACAGUUUCUUCUUGUACAUCUAUGGACAAUCCUUAAAUAUAAAUAAAACCCUUCCGUUUAAGCAAAAAAAAAAAAAAAAAAAAACUCUUCUAUUUGUAUUUUUCAAGAAGCAAGAGUUGUUCUUGGAAGUUUCAAGUAAGGUAGUUUAUACUUCCAUCAAUUAAGGUUCAGAUAUAUAUGUUGGCGGACUUCCUCGCUAGGUACUUGCAUGUAUUCAGCUGAUGUGUGGUAAGCUCUAUUUCUAGCUGGAGCUGAGUCGAGUCUAGUUCUUGUAUAGAGAUUACGAGUAGGUCGGGGCCCUGUCCCGACAGUUUGGUAGUUGUACAACUUCAGUCAUUGUAGGGGCUUCAUAGACAUGCAUUGACUGUCAUUUGUAUACACUUGAAUAUCAGUCACGUGUUUCAGGCCCGAUGGCCCACCUACAGAUAUAGAUGUGUCAGUCGCACCUUUCAUUUGUUUAUCCAGGAUGUUGUAUAAUCUGAUCCAGGUUCAUAAGUAUUUGCAUAAGUUUUCAUAUUGAUGGUUCGCUUGGUCAGGUUAAGGCACCGAGUGCCAGUCCUCCUCACGGUUUUGGGGCGUGACAUUAACAAAGUGUAUUGUUGGUACGGUGGCAAUAAAGGAACCUGUUAAGCUU